rnacentral:rRNA from 1 species
UUUCCGUAGGUGAACCUGCGGAAGGAUCAUUAUUGAAAUAAACCUGAUGGGUUGCUGCUGGCUCUCUUGGGAGCAUGUGCACACUUGUCAUCUUUAUAUCUCCACCUGUGCACCUUUUGUAGAUCUGGAUAUCUUUCUGAAUGCCUGGCAUUCAGGUUUGAGGAUUGACUUUUGUCUUUCCUUACAUUUCCAGGCCUAUGUUUUCUUCAUAUACACCAUGUAUGUUAUAGAAUGUAAUGACAAGGCCUUUGUGCCUACAAACCUAUACAACUUUCAGCAACGGAUCUCUUGGCUCUCGCAUCGAUGAAGAACGCAGCGAAAUGCGAUAAGUAAUGUGAAUUGCAGAAUUCAGUGAAUCAUCGAAUCUUUGAACGCACCUUGCGCUCCUUGGUAUUCCGAGGAGCAUGCCUGUUUGAGUGUCAUUAAUAUAUCAACCUCCUCAGGUUUUUACUUGUUGAGUGUUUGGAUGUGGGGGUAUCUUUUGCUGGUCUCUUUUGAGGUCGGCUCCCCUGAAAUGCAUUAGCGGAACAAUUUGUUGACCGUUCAUUGGUGUGAUAACUAUCUACGCUAUUGACGUAAAGCAGGUUCAGCUUCUAACAGUCCAUUGACUUGGACAAAUUUUCAUUAAUGUGACCUCAAAUCAGGUAGGACUACCCGCUGAACUUAA